UGCAGUCGGUGAUGUAAUUGUUUAAUUAUGCUGAGUUCCUCUGAUUAUCUCAACAACAAUCACCAUCUUUCGACUGAGAUUGCA
rnacentral:snoRNA from 1 species